UACGGAGGGUGCAAGCGUUAUCCGGAUUCACUGGGUUUAAAGGGUGCGUAGGCGGGCAUGUAAGUCAGUGGUGAAAUCUCAAAGCUUAACUUUGAAACUGCCAUUGAUACUAUGUGUCUUGAAUUUCCUGGAGGUUAGCGGAAUAUGUCAUGUAGCGGUGAAAUGCUUAGAUAUGACAUAGAACACCGAUUGCGAAGGCAGCUGACUAUAGGUGAAUUGACGCUGAUGCACGAAAGCGUGGGGAUCAAACAGG
rnacentral:rRNA from 1 species